rnacentral:rRNA from 1 species
AACGAACGCUGGCGGCAGGCUUAACACAUGCAAGUCGAACGCACCUUCGGGUGAGUGGCAGACGGGUGAGUAACGCGUGGGAACCUUCCCUGUGGUACAGAAUAGCUCCGGGAAACUGGAAUUAAUACCGUAUACGCCCUUUUGGGGAAAGAUUUAUCGCCAUAGGAUGGGCCCGCGUCGGAUUAGCUUGUUGGUAGGGUAAUGGCCUACCAAGGCAACGAUCCGUAGCUGGUCUUAGAGGAUGAUCAGCCACACUGGGACUGAGACACGGCCCAGACUCCUACGGGAGGCAGCAGUGGGGAAUAUUGGACAAUGGGCGAAAGCCUGAUCCAGCCAUGCCGCGUGAGUGACGAAGGCCUUAGGGUUGUAAAACUCUUUUGGCGGGGACGAUAAUGACGGUACCCGCAGAAUAAGCCCCGGCUAACUUCGUG